rnacentral:tRNA from 1 species
AGGAGCUGGAGGGGCUUUAACCCUCAUAAUACACUCUAUCAAAGUGGUCCUUUACUUCAGGCACAGUUCC